UUCUUAUAUUAUGGGUGGUUAUGUGCGAUGAAGAUCUUUUACUAUCGAGUGUUCUACCGGCUUGUUUGUCGGCCGAGGCAAAAAAUCUAAUAAAAUUAUGUUUGGUGUGGUAUUUUUGCUAAUAAAAACCCUCUCUAACUAAUUGCCUGCCAUAGUUCUUUUCUCUUGAUAUUCCGUUUUUAAAAUCGUAAUAUCUAGUAUGACGACUCAUUCUUUAUUGUUAUAGAAGAGCCAAUCUUCACGAUGUCUCGUUACGGCAAACCUGUGGUGCAAAUCGGCAAAUAUAGAUUCAACAAGUACUAUCGCUGUACGGGACCAAAAGCUCGUUGGAAUUGUACCAUGGUCGCGCGGAAUUGCAAGGCGAAUGGUGAAGAUAAGGUAUUCGAUGUCUCGUUUCGGCCGUCCAGUUAUUGUGGUGGACAACUAUCGCUUCAACAAGUACACGCACUGCAAGGGCGCCAAAGCCAGGUGGAAGUGCAGCAAGUCUAGCUCAGGGUGCCGAGCUGGUCUGGUGACCCUGGAGGAUAACGUUAUCUACGUCAAAAACAAUCA